CACGCAGGUGGCGAGAUAAGUUGGAUGUGAAAUUCCCGUGCUUAACAUGGGGACUGCAUCCAAAACUGUUGAACUGGAGUACUGUAGAGGGAGGUAGAAUUCCACGUGUAGCGGUGAAAUGCGUAAAGAUGUGGAAGAAUACCAGAGGCGAAGGCGGCCUCCUGGACAGAUACUGACACUGAGGUGCGAAAGCGUGGGUAGCAAACA
rnacentral:rRNA from 1 species